rnacentral:rRNA from 1 species
UACGAAGGGGGCUAGCGUUGUUCGGAUUUACUGGGCGUAAAGCGCACGUAGGCGGGCUAAUAAGUCAGGGGUGAAAUCCCGGGGCUCAACCCCGGAACUGCCUUUGAUACUGUUAGUCUUGAGUAUGGUAGAGGUGAGUGGAAUUCCGAGUGUAGAGGUGAAAUUCGUAGAUAUUCGGAGGAACACCAGUGGCGAAGGCGGCUCACUGGACCAUUACUGACGCUGAGGUGCGAAAGCGUGGGGAGCAAAC